UCUGCCUGGAGCAGCAGAGUUGACCUCUAGGUCAGAGGUCGUGAGUGCUAAGUCUCAAGGAGCACUGGUUCAGCAUUUAUUCAGUGUUCAUGACACUUGAUGAACAUAACUACAGUGAAUAAAAAGAAUCCAUUUUACUUGUCUAGCAAAAUAGGAGAGGGAAUGAACAAAGAAAGUGUAAUACAAAUGUCGGGCAGCUGUAAGGUUUUCAUGGCUGGCUUAGCCUGGUCAACCCUUACAUUUUUGCUCUGAAGAGACUUGCCAGAACGGUGGGAGAGAAAAUCUAAGCCCCAGUAGAGUGUUUUAUGUUACCAGAGGUCUUUGAGGUAGAAUGAACAUACAUUCUGUCCCCUUUCUACAGCGGGGAAGAGGACGAGGAAGCAUGGCUUGGGGACAGCAAUAUGCUCUGAGAUUAUUGCUGUUGCUCUGGUUGUGAGGCUGUUCUGUAUAGAGCAGCAGGGGCCAAGAUUGUUUCUGCAAUUGUCCUCUAACUUUCCUUGGUUGUUUCCUUUCCUUCACAUAGACUGUCUCUCUAGAUUC